rnacentral:lncRNA from 1 species
AUUCUCUUUUCUGGGCCUGAGAGACUGUAAAAUUCCUAUAAAACCAAGCUUAAAACUCCCAGCGAAGCCUGGGUUUACAAUGCAUUGUAUAAUACCUUCUUUGUCUACUCCAAAGGGCAUUUGGGGGGAAGCGCAGUGGGUGGCUGGAGACUGUUAGGGGGUCUCUGGCAGCAGGCAAUUAGGACGAUGCUGAACUGCUCCAUUUCCUAGAUGUGUGGCCUUGGGCAAGUUCCUUAACCCUCUUCAGCCUAUAUUCCGGAUCCAUAAAAGAGUGGGAAAAAAUAGUAUGCUACUAUUCUGAUAUACAGAACCGCCGUGAGGGCUAAUGAAACCGUGCAAAAGCUCGUAGAAACUGCUCUGCUCAGAGAAACCAACAAUUGCUCAUUCUAAUGCUAAUCAUCAUGACUCUCACUAUUGAUAAUGAAGCUGUUUGGGUGACAGUGCUUUAAAACUUAUGAAGCACCAUGAGGAAGUGAAGUAAGGAUGAUGGUGAUGAUGGUGGCGGUGGCGGCAGUGGUGAUGAUGUAGAUGAUGAUACGUGGAGAAAUGAGAUUCACCUAGCAUGAUAGAAAGAGUAGCAGACAGGAAAUCUGAUCUUAAUGCUGUUCCUACCACAACCCAGCAAUGUGACUUUGAGCUAGAUCCCUACCUACUCUGUUUCUUACAAAGGUGGCAGUUUGAUGCCCCCUUUUUGUUGUCAUUCUAUUUGGAGAGACUGCCUGGUUAUAUAUCCCUGGCUAUCCGGGUUAGCCUUGAACUCCUGCCUGUGCCUCCCAAGUACUGGGAUUGAUGAUAAGAUUGCCCAGAAUUCCAUCUCAGAUCAGAAACCCUGAUUCUGUGGGUGUCGGAGAAAUAACUUGCAUAGCCAACCUUAGAUUACUCCUGGGAUGGAGAAGUAGUUACCGGCCACUACACGGAUCAACGGCUAAAGCAUCUCUGGAGCAGAAGAUAAAAGCUAACUCUACUGCAGUGAUAGGUAGUGAUGUUCAGGGGGGAUUGCUGAGGAGGCAAACCCUUCCUACACAUCUUGGGGAUUUUGGAGGAUGUCACACAAUGACAACUGAUAACUACAGUAACUGAUCUACAUGAAGACCAAAUUAUGCCCAGUAGCCACAAACUCAGAUUUUUUUUUUUAUAAAUGUUAAAUGCAGUAUUGAAAGAUUUCCUUCUUUACACUCCUUGAUCUUCAUAUUCUCUGAGAAUGGCAGAAUAUUGUGAAAGCAAUAAUAGCACAUUUUUCUGCGGCCAGAGAGGCAUCUUGGUGAGUAAGAGUGCUUGCUGUACAAGCAGGAGGACCAGGGUUCAAUCCCAACACCCUCCUCAAAAGCUAGAAGUGGUCGUGUGCAUGACUCCAUCCCCAGAACUGUGUGUGUGUUUGGGGCAGGGGUGUUGAAGACAGGAGAAUUCCUGGGGCUUGCUUAAUGCCAGCCUCGCUCCAGGUCCAGUGAGAGACCCUAUCCUGAAGGAAAAAGGCAGAGAAUGGAGAGCAGCACAACCAACAGCCUCCUGUGGUCUCUGUGUGAGUAUAGACAUGUUCGCCCUUAUACAUAAAUGAACUUAUACCACACAUACAUUGCUGGCCCAUAUGCUUGCACAUGAAAAACUUUCCAUAACAGCACUUAAUUACAAAUAAAAAGAUUUAAUACCUAGAAUUAUUUCCAAUUAUCUGGAAGAUUAAUACUAGAUAACUGAGUUCUCAUUCAAUAAUUUAUUAGAUACAUUAUCUAUUAAAUACUGAAAAGUGUCAUGCAUUAUACAGAUUCUGAAAAUGAAACAAGAUUAAGAAAUGGUUGCUAGGCCUGGUGGUGGAUACCUUUACUCCCAACACUCUGGAGGUACCAAUUGGAGCUCUUCUAAGUUCGAGGCCAGCCUGGUCUACAUAGCAAUAACAAUUAAUACUCAGAACAAUCUUCACUAAGUACUUCAUAAAGUAGAGAUUUAUUGUUGUUGACUUUCCUGGCAACCAGGAACCCCCUCCCGCACCCCCGUGCUAUGGCUCGAACUCAGGGCCUCACAGGCUAGGCUGGUGCUCUACUCUGGAGUUACACUACAGGCCUAAGAAUGACCAUUUGGUGGCGACAUGGGUUUCUCCACUAUUCCUGUCUUUCCUUUUUUUCACAUGGCCGAGGAUCGAACCCAGGGCCUCUAGUUUACUAGGUGAGCACCAUAGCACAGAGCUACAUCUCCAGGUCCUGAGUUCCUCUUACAUGCUUGGUGUAUAUGCAGUUUACAAAGGGCUUUCAUGCCUGUCUCAUCGGAAGCAGGGGUCUUUAAAAAUCACCCCGCAUUGUAGACAUUGCUUCCCUUCAGUUGUGUGUAUGUGGAGCUAAAAAUUCCCAGCGGGUGUUAUUAUGAAGACAGUGCCUACUGCACACCUGAGGGGGUCAUUUGCUCUUGGGUUCCUCAGCUGUCAAAGCCUCCUAGGUCAUGAACUCAGAAAUGCAUCCUUACUUCAUGUUUGCUCUACAGUGUCCCUUCAUUAGUGGCUGUUUGUCCCUCCUGCUCAAUGCCUUCUCUUUAUGGAAGAGUUAAUCGAGGGUAAGAACCAUUAGGGAGGUAGUCAAAGAGACAGUAGAACUGGAUUUCAACCUGGGACCUGUACUCUGUGACCGGAUGUCUUCUAAAGACACUAUGCAGUUAUUAAAUGCUAUUUAUCCAAUGAUACACCCUUCCAUUCUUCCCAGCAUAGCACGAGCCUCACAUACAUAGCUGGUGCAUAUUCACUGCUGUUUUAAAUAGGUCAAAUAUAUCUAUGUGUGCUAACGUGUGUGUGUGUGUG